UGUUAUUCAUAUAUCGUUGAAAUUAUUUUUAUGUUAAUAUAGCAGAUGUUGAGUCUUAGAUUGUUUAUGUUUUUUGAACCUCUUAUUAACAAUCCUGGAGCUUAAGUGCAUCCUUUAAUAUUGUCCAGAACAGUUGAAUCAAGAACAUAAAUUUUUCUUUUCUUGUUUGCUUUUAUUUCUUAUUUGUUAUACUGUCCUCUGUCCUGUGCCGGGGGUCUAUCGGAAACAGCCUCUCUACUUCAUCUGUGGUAAUGGUAUGGACUGCGUACGCUUUACCCUCCCUAGACCUCACUUUGUGGUAAUACAGUGGGUAUGUUGUUGUUGUUUAUACUGUUUUUCUUAUAUUUUUAUGCUAUAAAUGUGCAAACUCUAUGUCAUUUUUGGGUUUGACCAUUGUCUGGCCCUUUCCCAACCCUGCAUAUAGUGAGAGCGUAAGUGCACCGGGCUACCCUUUAGUGCAAAACAGUUGAAUCAAGAACACAAAUUUCUCAUAUCAUAUAAAGGGGGUACCCCUUUUUUAUGUAUGCUGUAAAUGUGCAUGCCUUUUGUUUUCACCAUUUCCCAGAAUUGUUGAAUCAAGAACUGAUAUUUCUCUUAUUAUAUAUGACAAUAAAAGGUGAUACCCCCUUUUUCUUGUUGUGUAUGUGCAUGCAAUAUUCAAACUUUAUAUUCUUUUUGUCUUAUGUAAUGAUGUUAUUUGUUGGAUGUAGAUAAAGAGAAAGCAUCUAGAUUACUUUUUAAAAUAACUUUUUCUAUAAUUGUUCACCUGUAAUGAAGGCAAUUAAACUAAAGUUCCCUUUGAUUGGGGUUACAUGAUUUUGGUGGUUGGAAGUAAAGAGUGAGUAUUGAAAUGAUGAUUAGUUUGAAAAUGUAAGAAGUAAGCAUGGGUUAGUGUAAUCAUUUGAACAAUUGUUUAUUAUCAUUUUUGCUUUAAUGACCAUUUUCAUUUCUGUUUGAAACUUUGGAAAAAAAUUUGAUUCCAACAGUUUUUUUUUCUUUCUAAUGAGAUUAAGGCCUAGCCAGUGCAUUCUUUCUUGUGCCUCCUACCACAAAGCUGAUGAAGACGAAAGUAAUUGGCACAAAAAGAAGUUCGAUGAAGAGCCAGCAUGGUCACAUAGUCCUCCACACGUAAUUUCACAGUUAGCUCAGUGCUUUACUAAUGCUAUGGUUGGACCACGAGCAUGGAUAGGAGGAAUCUUCAAUCGCUCGGGCAAUAAACGACCUGGAAGCAAUAAAUAUCUUAACUACCCUUUAACUCCUCUUCAGGAACAAAGCUUACGCAGGCUUCAAGAACGGCUAGGAGUACCUUUUGAUGAAACACGCCUAGAUCAUCAAGAAGCUCUUCAAGAUCUAUGGAAUGCAGCAUAUCCAAAUGUUAAGCUUCGAAGUUUGAUCUCCGAGCAAUGGAAAGAUAUGGGUUGGCAAGGAGCAAAUCCAUCAACUGACUUCAGAGGUUGUGGAUUUAUUUCGCUCGAGAAUUUGCUGUAUUUUGCAACAAGAUAUCCGAAUUGUUUUCAUAGGUUGCUUUUCAAACAAAGUGGAUCGAGAGCGAAUUGGGAAUAUCCAUUUGCAGUUGCUGGGAUUAAUGUUACAUUCAUGUUGAUUCAGAUGCUCGACUUAUUCUCAGAAAAACCAAAGUGUCUUCCAGGACUAAAUUUUGUAAAGUUAAUAGGAGAAGAUGAUGAGGCGUUUGAUGUUCUAUACUGUAUAGCAUUUGCGAUGAUGGAUGCGCAGUGGCUGGCUAUGCGUGCUUCAUAUAUGGACUUUAAUGUAUACGCUCCCUCUCUUGCUCUCUCUGUAUGUAUAUGAGUAAUACAUAGUCUAUGUUGACCAUAUGAGGAGCAUGUCGUGAGCUUAUGGAUUAAGAUCAACUCAAGGGCAAGACGUUUUGCAAGCGACGAGGACGCAGUUAGAGAGGGAAUUAUCAUUAGAUGAUAUACAAAGAAUAGAAGAACUACCAGCAUUCAACUUGAUAUAGUAGCAAGGACUUUCAUCCUCACACAUUCUGCAGAUUCCCAAGGGGUAGUUAAAGACGGUUGCUCAGACUCUUCAAUAAUGUCAACGGGCGCAUGUCGGAUUUUAGUGUAUUUUUCAAGGACCUGACACGCGUACAAUAAUAUUUUUGGAGAAUGCGAGCAAUACAGGUUAAAGAUAUUUUUGGAGAAUGCGAGCAAUAUAGGUUAAAGAUAGUCAGUGUGUUAAAAAAUGAUUUAGAUACAUCAAGUAGCUAAACCUAAAGAUUUUUGUACAUAAGGUGGUGGUUUUGGCUACACAUAGUUGCUUAAUUGGUCCAAUAUUUCUAGCGAGUCUUUUUAGUCAUAUCAUAGAUCUAAAUGCUAUAAAUGUAGGAAAUAUAGAAAAAUUGUAGUUUUUUUUUUUUUUUUUUUUUUUUUUUUUUUUUUUUUGUAUAAUAUCGGAUUGAGAUCAAUGUUACUGAUUAAGUUCAUGACCUUAAGUUAUAAGGGAAAAAGGUUCGAAAUAUGCUAAAUUUUGGCGAAAUUUGUUGUACACAUCUCAACUUUGCGGAGGUUCUAUGACCCCCUCGAUUAAUUAUUAUCGUAUUUUUGUGGCAUAUAUUUGUCCAGCUGGACUACUGUGUGAAUACACGCACACUGAGCGCAUAAAGAUCUGAAGUAGUCCAGCUGGACAAAUAUAUGUCACAGAAAU